rnacentral:rRNA from 1 species
UACGGGAGUGGCAAGCGUUAUCCGGAAUUAUUGGGCGUAAAGCGUCCGCAGGCGGUCUGUCAAGUCUGCUGUUAAAGCGUGGAGCUUAACUCCAUUAAGGCAGUGGAAACUGACAGACUAGAGUGUGGUAGGGGCAGAGGGAAUUCCCGGUGUAGCGGUGAAAUGCGUAGAUAUCGGGAAGAACACCAGUGGCGAAGGUGCUCUGCUGGGCCAUAACUGACGCUCAUGGACGAAAGCCAGGGGAGCGAAAGGGAUUAGAUACCCCUGUAGUCCUGGCCGUAAACGAUGAACACUAGGUGUCGGGGGAAUCGACCCCCUCGGUGUCGUAGCCAACGCGUUAAGUGUUCCGCCUGGGGAGUACGCACGCAAGUGUGAAACUCAAAGGAAUUGACGGGGGCCCGCACAAGCGGUGGAGUAUGUGGUUUAAUUCGAUGCAACGCGAAGAACCUUACCAGGGUUUGACAUCCUGCGAAUCUCUUGGAAACGAGAGAGUGCCUUCGGGAACGCAGUGACAGGUGGUGCAUGGCUGUCGUCAGCUCGUGUCGUGAGAUGUUGGGUUAAGUCCCGCAACGAGCGCAACCCACGUCGUUAGUUGCCAGCAUUUAGUUGGGCACUCUAGCGAGACCGCCGGUGAUAAACCGGAGGAAGGUGUGGAUGACGUCAAGUCAUCAUGCCCCUUACAUCCUGGGCUACACACGUACUACAAUGCUACGGACAAAGGGCAGCAAACUCGCGAGAGCUAGCAAAUCCCAUAAACCGUGGCUCAGUUCAGAUCGUAGGCUGCAACUCGCCUACGUGAAGGAGGAAUCGCUAGUAAUCGCAGGUCAGCAUACUGCGGUGAAUACGUUCCCGGGCCU